CUCAUAAUUUACCUAUUGUAGAUUUCCUGAAUCUUUUUAAAUCCUUUGCAACUGAAGAUGGUCUCUCCAUCAGAGAAGCAAUUAACCAAAUGCCUGACUACAGCGUAUACAGCAUCUGUUAUAAAAGCAUAAAAGGUUAACUUAAAUCCUGGCACACAAAGGAGAUGUCAGACCAGAACAAAUCAGCAUGGAAAUACCUGGAGGAGAUACAAGGUUAAGCUUACUCAACGUGAAGAUGAUGAGGAUGAAAACCCUUAUAAUGAUCCACUUCCACUAAUCAUAUUUACUAUUCUAUUAAUGAACGAGGCAGAGGACACAUUUUCUCAAGCUUGGAAACAAAAAAGGGAAUUGGAUGGGAAGAGUGACAUUUAAGUGUUGUUCCAGCAGUGUGCUGCAAGUGGAACAUAAUCUUCAGUAUAAAGGAAGAGGAUGCUGGGCCAUGAAUAGGAAUUCUGUGAUUCAAGGAUAUUAUAACUUUUCAAGUUGACAUUCGACCAUGAAAACAACAUGCAAUUGUGCUUAAGCGGGCAAGAAUCUUCAAGAUCUUCUUUUGUAAAAUGAUCUUCUUUUUUCAUGAUGGCGAAAACCAGUCAACCAAGAGAUAAAACAAAAUAUAUAAAACUCAGAGAAAUUUUAUUGAAAGUGAGGAAUUUUCUGAGCAUUGGAAUAUUUAAAUAAAGAACAUACAUACGAACGACA